rnacentral:lncRNA from 1 species
UUGACUCUUUUCUUUAUUUACUUCCCUUUUUACCCCACUACUUGAUUGCACCGGCCCAAGCCCAAGCCCAUUCUUUCUUUAUUAGCUGCAAUUAAUCCCAUCCAGAACUGAAUUAGCUGGAAAUUAAAAGUAGUAAUUACAACGUGAUGGCCAUUUUACCAAAAUGCCAAGCAAACACAAACAGUCAGCUAAAGAUGAGGACUGGCCAUAUCUGUAAAUAUGGCAGCAGCAGCAGCAGCAGCAGCAAAAUGAUCAAUUCUUUACCUUAAACAAAAGAAACAAACGUUUUAAGUUUUGACUUUAACCCUUUAGUUUUUGCCGUUUUUCUGUCUUAAAUUCAGAAAAAUGCAGGGAAUUUACCAUUCUAUCCAGACCAACUCACGCGUCUCGCUCCAAUUGGUAGAAAUCCCCCAUUAAAGUAGAAAAACCCGCGACUCCACAGCCCCGUACGCUACACGCCAAACCACUCUAUCAUUCAGCUACCCUCCAAUUCCUCCCACAAAGCUCCCCCCCCUUUCUUCCUCCAGCCAGCGCUGUCGAAAAGAAAAACCCACCAUAGCCAGCCUAGCCCAACGAAUCUGAAUCAAUGGCUGCCUUAUAGUUCUCCAUAACCGUUCCCAUUUCUGAGCCUUUCCUUUUCUCUCUCUGUCUUUCCCAUUCUUUCUUUCCUGACAGCCAAAAUGAAGCCUUGGUUGCUUUUUUUCUUCCUUUUGUCGGCGGCGGCGGUGAUGGUGGCGGUGGAUUCAGAUCUCGAAUCCGACAGGGCGGCGCUGGUGAACCUCCGGAACACCGUCGGUGGUAGAUCUCUGU